rfam:Microgenomates (Roizmanbacteria) bacterium GW2011_GWA2_36_23 TS11_C0002, whole genome shotgun sequence.
GGGCCAAUAGCUCAAUGGUAGAGCGCUGCAUUCGCAUUGCAGAGGUUGGGAGUUCAAGUCUCCUUUGGUCCA